rnacentral:lncRNA from 1 species
GCACUCAUGCAAAGUCAGGGACACACAUUCACAGCGGUUUCCUGCGGGGAAACCAAACCACAGAUAAUCUUUUCUGUCACACUCUGCUCUCAACAUCUCUCCCCCUUUACUCUAUCUACUGUUAUCAUCUCCGCUGCUUCUUUUUCCUCCCCUCGUUUUCUCUCCACCGCUCAAAGGAGACAGCAUCUCAAUAUUCCCCUCAUGUCCCUGCUCCUCCUUCUAAAAAUACUCUCCCCAAAUCAAAUCCAUCAACUUGCCCUCACGCUCCUCCUCCUCUUCUCCGCUCUUGUGUCAGUCAAACCCCCGUAAACUCGACCUCCUGUCAAGCUCUCUCUCCUCCUCCUCUUCUUCUUCUUCUUUUCCACUUUAUGCACGCACUCCCUCACUUCGCUCCCCCGUCAGAAAAAGGCUUCUUUUUUGCGCUUUCUUCCCUCAUGUCCUUGUCAGCUGCAUUCCAGUUUGCUCCCUGCUCCAAAUGACUUCUCCCCCUUCAGGGAUCUCUCGCCGCUUUUCUCCCCCUCCUUUCCACUCUCGCAGUCUCUCGCGUUUGACUCCUCUGUUUCGCUCCGGUUUUCAGGUGGCUCGUCCUCCCAUCGCACCUCCUAUACUGCUCCUCCUCCUCCUCCUCCUGCGCCACAGCUCUGUCCGCGCAGCCGGUGAGCCCGUCACUGAUGAGAGCGCCUGUCUCACUCUGCGCUAACUCGCGAGCUGUCCUUCGCCCCCCUCUGUUUGUCUGCUGCUGCUGCUGCUGAGCCGCGCGGCUUCGGUACAAUGAGAGACUGCUGCGCGCGCCAAUGUGAAGGUUCUGUGUGGAGCUGCGGGAGACAGCCAGACAGGGCUCCCUCCUCACUGCACUCCUCCAGCUGUACGGUCUGGGCUUUUUGACACUCUGAGCUUGGAUUUACGUGCAUGUUACAUAAACAUUAAAACAACAUUUAUGGGACUGUAAUCUGAUUAACGAUCUCCCAAAGCUUCCUUUCUGUUCUCACUGUGGCUGUCAUAAAAAACCCCUCCAUAAAUUAGAUUUAUUGAGGUCUGAGUCCUGAGUUUAGAAAUGAAGCUCAAAAUUAAGUUUACCUUAGAUUAUUGCCACUUUUUAAAUUUUAUUUCCUUUAAAAAAGUAUUUGGCCACCUUUUUUCAACACUGAUUUAUUUAUGAUUAUUUGUGCCAGUUGUCUUUAGAGCAGUAUAAGACUAGUUUCUGACUUGGUGUCAUUUUUUCAUGGCUGAGGAAAGGGACAGAACAUUACUACAUUUUAAAACCUAUCACUGCAUAAACUCAUACCACACUUGUGUUUGAAAAGGUUGGCACUAAAUAUGGAUGUUUUUUUUUUUUUUAAUGGAUUUAAAUAUUUUGUCUUUCUUAUUUCAGGCCAAAUUAAAAAUGCUCAGGAGUUUAUUUCUGUACUUAAAACCAUUUAUUGACCUUGAAAUAUUCCCGGUUGGCUGUAGCUCAACUGCCAAAAACUGUUGACCGAAACAGUCUCUCUAUUUGUCACUUGACUGGGCCCAAGGCCGAGCUAUAUUAAGUGAUUUUGUUUUACAGCUACUGAAAUGUUCUGAGGGUAAUUUAUAAAUAGGUCCAGUUGAAGAGGCACCUCGCUAAUGAAACAUAUCUUAAUAAAUCUUGAUAAAUCUGAUGUUUUUGAUAUGUGCAUAUGUACAAAUUGCGUUGUGGGAGACAUAAAGGGUUUAUAAGUCUAAGUCUUACAGUAUGGCUCAGAUAAAAUGUCAGUUAUUUGAUGGAUUCUGAAAAGGUUUUUGUGCAAGAGGGGGGGACAACCACACUGGCCCGCCAGCUGGUUCUUAUUAUGGAUGGAGCACCUCCACAUGUUGAGAGAAGUGAAGACAAAUAUGGCAAAUACUGUGUUUUAGAAGUGGCAUCGAACCAAAGCAUGCCUAGGAGGAAUCUGGUUUCGGGACCUGCGUGACUUAUACAAGACGCUCUGUUUGUCCUGCAGAGUUCAGAACUGAUCAUGGCCCCAUUAGCUGCUCCUGACAGGUCAGAUGAAAUUCUGGCAUGUCUGAAAAUUUGGUCAGUUGAUCCUCUAACACAGCGGGAACAGAGCUGACUGCACCUGCGUAAAUCAUCAC